AUUUCCUUAUUUCGCUAGCUGUUUCUCGCCUGUAAAUGUGUCCUAUGCAUGCAGUGUUUCGGGUUUUCGCUGGCGUUUUCCAGGGCAGUCAAUGUGCAGGUCCCUCGAAACAAAAUUGCUUGUGUCCUAUAUUCUUAAUUCUGGUUCUAUCGAAGACUGUUUCUACACAGGAGUUUUCCAUGCUCAGGAAGAGAAAGGCGGACCUUGUUGCAGAAAAUCUGGGGAACAACAGAUGAAGCCGGUUCUAGCUGCAGGGUGCCCAUUGCGUGUGGCAUUUUCCCAGCUUUUGCAUGCUUGAUACUCAAGGUGUUGACAGGGGAGUAAAUGUCCCAAAUUCAUGACAUCACACUCUCAGUGAUCGAUUUUGGCCUACAAGGCUACACGGGUACCCCCUCCACAUCUAGGCCUUGUCUUAAACAAAAGAAUUCGUCGAAGACGCCAAAACGUGGGAAGAAGGUAAUGGAACACAUUUUUAGUUGUAUCAAUGUUUGAAAAUGUUGAAAUCAAGUCUUAGUUGAGGUUUGUAGAUUGAUUAGUGUUUUUUUUUGUCUAUUUUACAUGUACAACGAGCAUUGAGCUAUGUGGAUUUGUUGAAUGCAUCCAAUUCGCCCGUGGAUUGAGAAAGGGCGGAAGUAAUAGCAACCGUUUUUCCAUCGAUGGUGAGUCAUUCUCAGUCCAUUGGAGAAGCAUCUUAGGCACCGAUACGUCAUUGUUCUGUAUAUUAUAGCUUUUAAGUGUUUUUGAUGUAUUUAUGUUAGUACAUUGUAUUAAUUGUACAUUUAAUCUACAAUAGCCCCUUUUGCUGUUUGGCAAUAACGUGGAUCCUUUUAAGUUUGUCUUCAAGAAAACUCCUAAGAGGGACAAGGAGAGGAGAGUGAAGACAUUAGCUCCGAGAUCAACCAAUGAGCCAUCUACAAAGUCGUGUACUGCAUCGAAGAGGCUCUAUUUUGAUGAUCCACCACAAGUUUAGGAUCAUAUAGUGUUAGUUGUGGUCAUAGAAUGUCCAAUACAUGUAGAUAUAUUCUACAUUUUUAUUGUAUAUCGAUUUGGACAAUGACAUAUGCCACAUUUUUGUAA